rnacentral:misc_RNA from 1 species
GCCAUCUCAAAUAAGAGUACUAAAACAUAGGCAUGUUUCUUUCACACUUCAAAUCAGAAAUAAUACCAACAAAAGUUUUGAAACCCCCAAUGCCUAUUAAGGCCAUCUUCCAUAAUCAGCACCACAAUAAUCUACAAUACUAUUUCACAUGGCACAUAUAUUAAUGGACACAAGAACUAAAUCUAUGAUGGUCCUGAAUCACUUAGAUAAUUUAACAAUAAAGCAAAA